AUUUUUACAAUAUGCACAAAAGGAUUACAGGGAAAACCAGGUACAGGGAGGACUACCACCUGUUAAAAGUAUUUUUCUGGAAACAGCUGGCGAUUAUCCCCCAAAAGUUUAAUUACCAUUAUUGAAAACGCGUAUUGGAACUGCCUUGGAUAAUCUUGGGAAGAAGGAAAGAAAAUAAAGCCCCAAGGCCUACUCCUCCGUCCCGGUCAGCAACAUGAACUCAGGCCUGGGCUCCAUGAACUCCAUGAACACCUACAUGACCAUGAACACCAUGACCACAAGCGGCAACAUGACCCCGGCGUCCUUCAACAUGUCCUAUGCCAACCCGGGCCUAGGGGCCGGCCUGAGUCCCGGCGCAGUAGCCGGCAUGCCGGGGGGCUCGGCGGGCGCCAUGAACAGCAUGACUGCGGCUGGCGUGACGGCCAUGGGUACGGCGCUGAGUCCGGGCGGCAUGGGGGCCAUGGGCGCGCAGCAGGCGGCCUCCAUGAAUGGCCUGGGCCCCUACGCGGCCGCCAUGAACCCGUGCAUGAGCCCCAUGGCGUACGCGCCGUCCAACCUGGGCCGCAGCCGCGCGGGCGGCGGCGGCGACGCCAAGACGUUCAAGCGCAGCUACCCGCACGCCAAGCCGCCCUACUCGUAUAUCUCGCUCAUCACCAUGGCCAUCCAGCAGGCGCCCAGCAAGAUGCUCACGCUGAGCGAGAUCUACCAGUGGAUCAUGGACCUCUUCCCCUACUACCGGCAGAACCAGCAGCGCUGGCAGAACUCCAUCCGCCACUCGCUGUCCUUCAAUGACUGCUUCGUCAAGGUGGCGCGCUCCCCGGACAAGCCGGGCAAGGGCUCCUACUGGACGCUACACCCGGACUCCGGCAACAUGUUCGAGAACGGCUGCUACUUGCGCCGCCAGAAGCGCUUCAAGUGCGAGAAGCAGCCGGGGGCCGGCGGCGGGGGCGGGAGCGGGAACGGGGGCAGCGGCGCCAAGGGCGGCCCUGAGAGCCGCAAGGACCCCUCUGGCGCCUCUAACCCCAGCGCCGACUCGCCCCUCCAUCGGGGUGUGCACGGGAAGGCCGGCCAGCUAGAGGGCGCGCCGGCCCCCGGGCCCGCCGCCAGCCCCCAGACUCUGGACCACAGUGGGGCGACGGCGACAGGGGGCGCCUCGGAGUUGAAGACUCCAGCCUCCUCAUCUGCGCCCCCCAUAAGCUCCGGGCCCGGGGCGCUGGCCUCUGUGCCCCCCUCUCACCCGGCACACGGCUUGGCACCCCACGAGUCCCAGCUGCACCUGAAAGGGGACCCCCACUACUCCUUCAACCACCCGUUCUCCAUCAACAACCUCAUGUCCUCCUCGGAGCAGCAGCAUAAGCUGGACUUCAAGGCAUACGAGCAGGCACUGCAGUACUCGCCUUACGGCUCUACGUUGCCCGCCAGCCUGCCUCUAGGCAGCGCCUCGGUGACCACCAGGAGCCCCAUCGAGCCCUCAGCCCUGGAGCCGGCGUACUACCAAGGUGUGUAUUCCAGACCCGUCCUAAACACUUCCUAGCUCCCAGGACUGGGGGGUUUGUCUGGCAUAGCCAUGCUGGUAGCAAGAGAGAAAAAAUCAACAGCAAACAAAACCACACAAACCAAACCGACAACAGCAUAAUAAAAUCCCAACAACUAUUUUUAUUUCAUUUUUCAUGCACAACCUUUCCCCCAGUGCAAAAGACUGUUACUUUAUUAUUGUAUUCGAAAUUCAUCGUGUAUAUUACUACAAAGACAACCCCAAACCAAUUUUUUUUCCUGCGAAGUUUAAUGAUCCACAAGUGUAUAUAUG
rnacentral:sRNA from 1 species